GAUGAACGCUAGCGGCAGGCCUAAUACAUGCAAGUCGAACGGUGUCUUCGGACAUAGUGGCGCACGGGUGCGUAACACGUAUGCAACCUACCUUACAUUGGGGGAUAGCCUUUCGAAAGGGAGAUUAAUACCGCAUAAGACAGUAGCUGGGCAUCCAACAGCUGUUAAAGAUUUAUCGAUGUAAGCUGGGCAUGCGUCCAAUUAGCUAGUUGGUGAGGUAACGGCUCACCAAGGCAAUGAUUGGUAGGGGAACUGAGAGGUCAAUCCCCCACACUGGCACUGAGAUACGGGCCAGACUCCUACGGGAGGCAGCAGUAGGGAAUAUUGGGCAAUGGACGCAAGUCUGACCCAGCCAUGCCGCGUGCAGGAUGAAGGCGUUAUGCGUUGUAAACUGCUUUUAUACAGGAAGAAACGACUCUUGCGAGAGGCAUUGACGGUACUGUAUGAAGAAGCACCGGCUAACUCUGUGCCAGCAGCCGCAGUAAUAC
rnacentral:rRNA from 1 species